CCAAAGUAUCAUUACUUACCACUUGUGAACAGUUUCAAUGUCCUUGGGGGAGAGAGAAGGACUAACAGUGUGUUAGCACACCUGUCUUUCCUUCCAUCUCCCCCAGCGGGGUGCUCGCUGACUGCUUGCAGUUGGUGGGAUACUCACGCACUACAAACCACAUGUGCAAAGUUAAAACUGGUGUAUGUACCUUCUCUCUUUUUGAGAAAUCAAAAAGAACUGA
rnacentral:misc_RNA from 1 species